UUGGUUCCUCCGCGUUGGAGAGGGCGGGGAUAUGAGGCGGGGCCGACUGACAAGGGGGGUGGGGAGACAAAGGUCCUUGUGGAUGGGUGGGGUGGGAGACAGGAGGGGGAAGCUUUUUUUCCUCUUAAAGGGGCAGGACUUAUAUCCGGGAUUGUGGGGUUACGGCCAAAAAAAGUUUGGGAAGAUGGUUUUGUUGGGGCACCUGGCUGACUCAGUUGGUAGACCUUGCGACACUUGAUCUUGCGGUGGCGAGAACCGAAGUUUGGAGGUAGACGAGCAGGCGAGCGGUUUGCCCGGGCGCAGAGCAUGAAGGCCGGGCGGGCGCGGGGAGCGGGCGCCCGCCGCCCGGCGCGGGGGUGAGCGAGAGAGAGAGCGGAGCGCGUGUGGCCGGCGCCGCUCGGCCGGGAGC